AGUGAACGCUGGCGGUAGGCCUAACACAUGCAAGUCGAACGGCAACACAGUAAGAUCUUGCUCUUACGGGUUGCGAGUGGCGUACGUGAGAGGAAUACAUCGUAAUCUUCUUUUUCGUGGAGGAUAACGUAGGUAAACUUACGCUAAUACCGCAUACCACGUACGGGUGAAAGCAGUGGAUCUUCUGACCUUUCGCGGUUGAAUUAGCCGAUGUCGGAUUAGCUAGUUGGCGGGGUAAAGGCCCACUCAGUCGACGAUCCGUAGCUCGUCUGAGAGGAUGAUCAGCCACACUGGAACGGAAACAGGGUCAAGGCUACUAAGGUAGGCAGCAGUGGGGAAUAUUAGACAAUGGGCGCAAGCAUGAUACAGCCAUACGGAGUGGGUGGAGAAGGCGUUCGGGUUGUAAAGCCCUUUUGCUGGGAAAAAAAAGCAGCAGGUUAAUACCCAGCUGUUCUGACGGUAAUCAAAGAAUAAGCACCGGCUAACUUCGUG
rnacentral:rRNA from 1 species